UGGCUCAGGAUGAACGCUAGCGAUAGGCCUAACACAUGCAAGUCGAGGGGCAGCAUAGAGUAGCAAUACUUGAUGGCGACCGGCGCACGGGUGAGUAACACGUAUGCAACCUACCUACAUCAGGGGAAUAACCCGGAGAAAUUCGGACUAAUACCGCAUAAUACAGGGAUGCCGCAUGGCAAUAUUUGUUAAAGAUUUAUCGGAUGUAGAUGGGCAUGCGUUCCAUUAGCUAGUUGGUGAGGUAACGGCUCACCAAGGCAACGAUGGAUAGGGGAACUGAGAGGUUUGUCCCCCACACUGGAACUGAGACACGGACCAGGCUCCUACGGGAGGCAGCAGUGAGGAAUAUUGGUCAAUGGACGAGAGUCUGAACCAGCCAAAUCGCGUGAAAAGGAAGACUGCCCUACGGGUUGUAAACUUCUUUUGUACAGGAAUAAAAGACAUUACGUGUAAUGUAUUGCAUGUACUGUACGAAUAAGCAUCGGCUAACUCCGUGCCAGCCGCCGC
rnacentral:rRNA from 1 species